UAAUAUCUCAUUUGAUGAAAACAAUAUUUCGUCGUUAAACAUUUAUUAUAUUGUUUAGAUAUUUGCAGACUUCAAAUCUCAGAUGUGUCUCAGUCAAAGCAGUUAUAUGUGUAGAAAUGGUAAAACGGAUAAAGUAAAUUAGAAGCUCUUCAUUCGAUAGUAAAACAUUAGUCCGUGUGAAGAUAAAAAAGCAAGGUACCGACAAACGGAAAUUUUCGGUGAUCUAACAUGUUGGGACAGAACUACACAAGUCAACAUGUAAGGAGAUGAAUGAUUGGGAAAAAAAUUCAAGUACUCCUAGACGGUAGACCGACGUUCAUGACUUCAUCUAAUGAACAACAAGAAUUAAUGCUGAUUGAUGGGAGGCGAUGAUUUUGCGAAUGUACUUCUGAAAAAACCGAUUAUUUUGCACAUUUCCUUUGUAUAUGAAAGUCCGACUGAGAAUAAUGAAUUUUCCACUGUUAUAGUUCGAGGUUGGAAUGUACAUAAGCGUAUCAUGUGUCAAGGGUUUCCAGAACCGCUAAUUGACGGAAAAAUUUAGAAGAAUGCAGUCUUUGACAUUAACCAUUUGUACGUCUUGUAAACAACACUAAUUUGAAUCUUCAUUAUAUUAUUGACAAUAAUGCAUGUCAUAAUAACAGAAAAUAUUCAGUGAAUUAUGCAACGUACCGCUACUGUUUACGUCCUGAAGAUUGUGUCAUUGAGAGCAGAUCAUUUUGGAGAGCUAGUUGACUAUUUCUUAGGCGCCGUAAAUGGGAAUCACGAACUUCAAACUGGAAUGUUAUGGCAUAUGCUCCAUCACUAACUGAGAUUUCACUUACCCUUGAAUGGACUUUUCUCAUUCGCUUACAACUUUAUGAUUGUGGAAAUGAUAGUAGUUUUAUUUUUAUCUGCGUGUUUGUGAAGAAGGCCGCUGUCAAUAUAUCCAGUAAAAAUAUAUAGUUGGAGAUACAUGAAAAUGAAAUGUCAUAACAAUCAAUGAUGGAAAUGUCUAUGACGUUAUAUUAAUAAUUUCUUAUUCUUAAGCAGAUAUACACAGAAAGGACUAAAAUUUGUAUUAAUACUAAACAAUCAUUAUCUAUCGAUAAAAGUGUAAAACUUGGAGAUUAGGUUAAGAACUUCGAGGAAAUUCCUUCAUAAUAUUUCAAUAACUAUAAGAUGUUAUAUACUAAAUACGAUUAAAAAUAUUUUUAAUGAAACGAUGACAAAAUUAGACACCAAAAUGUACUAUUUUUAAUAUAUGUUCGAGCUUUCGAAUACUUUUGUAUUCAUCUUUAAGAACUGAAAUUAUGGUCAGGGUACAAUUAAAGUGUAAUAAUAAUGAAAAUUACUGACAAAAAUUAGUUUAAAAGGCGGUGUUUUCUUCUAAAAAUCAUUAUUAAUACACGAAUUCCAAAAUCAAUAUACAAAUUGACGCUUUAUACAAAUAUUGAGCUAAUCGACUCUGGUUGCUAUAGAAAUUGUCAACAUCAUUCAUAACGACCUAACCUAAUCUAACCUAUAAAAAUUUUAUGUCAUUCAUAAUCUAACCAAUUAAAAUUAAAAACGAUUUCUAUAAAAACCAGAAUCAAUACGCUUAAUAUAUCUAUCAAGCGUGAAUUUGAAAUUUGAUGUUUGAAUUCUAUAAAUGUAAUGAUUCUUAAAAGAAAGUACAAAAUAUAUAUUAUUGUUAAACUUCUAUACAUAUUUUUAAAUUUUACUUUGACAAUAAUUUCUGUACCUGACAGAAAAUGCAUUAUUGUCAAAAAAGUGUUCACAAUUUGUAGGCAAGAACUUGUAAAUAACCAAAAGACUCACACAAAUAACUAAAAAGAACACAAAUAGAAUAAAAUCGAAAUAUACAGUAUGCGCACGAAAACAACAAUAAAUAAAGAUAUUUCUUUUUAAAAUGUACAUGUGAAAAUUUUUUAUAUGUCGUUAAUGGUUGUGUUAUUUAGUACAAAAGUACAUAUUUUUAUAAGAUAAAACUUUAGUUUUAUAAAAGUUGAGACAGAAAAGAUUAGAAUCGCACUCAAGAGAAACUAGUAUCGUCCGUAAAAAGAUAUAUUUACUGCUGAUGUCUAGAUAGGCAAUAUUGUUGAUAAACAGAACAAGCAAAAUAGGUCCUAUCAGGUACUGAGCCUUCAGGCACUCCACAUUCUAUUGCUCUGUGAGAAUACAUCGUUGUAUCAAUUCUUACAAGCUGACGAUGAUGAUUACAAAGCCUAUGAAUUUAAAAUUUUUACAAGAAUUUAUACAACUUAAAGCCUCCACAAAUCUCAAUUGAUUAUUGUAAGUACAAUUUUAUUAUUGUUAUACAUUUAUACAUAUUCCUUAGAUAUUCUCAAAAAUAUCCAUUCUAGUUAUAAUCGCUUGUAUUAUAUUAUAAAAUUUCUCAAUGAAUAAGAAUUUGAAUUGUUAAAAAAUCAAAAGACUAACCUCAGCAACACACUUAAUUUUAAUCUUAUUUUAUUAUACCGAUUUUAUUUUUGUUAAUAGAGCAAACGUAUUAACAUUUCCUAUUUAACUAAUAUGUCUUUUUCAAUCCUCAAUAAAUAAUUAGUUUAUGUUGGUCUCCGUUUUGAUAGUAACAUGCACAUUUAACUUGAAACCCGACCUUAGUAUACAAUUGCCAAUAACAAAUAAAAAAGAUUUUUCUCUCAGUCAAUAAUUUAUUCAACCAGUAUAGCGACAGCUUUCGAAUAAAUACACUACAAAUAAAAGUGUAGAUUCAUAUUGCUAUUGAACCUAUGAAUUAGUAUCCAUCUCUAGUACACUUAAAAUCGAAUAUUUGUCUUAAUAUAGGUACCAAAAUGUUUAAAUAUGUUUUCCUGUACAACUAGAGCAUGUGAUAAAAUGGAUAGAUUUACAUAAUCUGCAUUCCUACAUUCACAUGUUUUUGUGAAAAACUAUAUGUAAUCUACAUACAUUUUAAAAUUUUGUUGUACUUACAACAAAGAGUUUGACCUUUCGAAUGCGGUGGAAAUUUUAGUUCUUUGAUAUUAUUUCCUUUACAUUCAUUGCCCUUCGAAACAUUCAAACUGGCCAUUCUUCUUUAUGAGCCAGUGGCAUUCCUCGCAAUUCUUUAGACAGGAUAGGAAAUUUAGUUAGUAUCUAAUUUAAUCUAAACGGAUGAUUUUGAUCAUAAAAACGAUGAAACCAAAAGAAACCAUUAAUUUCUCAUGGUACAAUGGUCUAGAGAACUGUAGACAUAGGAGGUCCACUCCUAGUAUAUUUUAAAUUUAUUUCCUUUUGUUUUGACUCUGGAUUUGUUGGAUCCACCAAUUUCAUUCAUAAUUACAGACAUUGUAUUUCUCAUUGUACAGUGGUAUCAGUGGUAAUAAUUCAUC